rnacentral:rRNA from 1 species
ACACGGAGCUUGCUCUGUGGGAUCAGUGGCGAACGGGUGAGUAACACGUGAGCAACCUGCCCCUGACUCUGGGAUAAGCGCUGGAAACGGCGUCUAAUACUGGAUAUGUGACGUGACCGCAUGGUCUGCGUUUGGAAGAUUUUUCGGUUGGGGAUGGGCUCGCGGCCUAUCAGCUUGUUGGUGAGGUAAUGGCUCACCAAGGCGUCGACGGGUAGCCGGCCUGAGAGGGUGACCGGCCACACUGGGACUGAGACACGGCCCAGACUCCUACGGGAGGCAGCAGUGGGGAAUAUUGCACAAUGGGCGAAAGCCUGAUGCAGCAACGCCGCGUGAGGGAUGACGGCCUUCGGGUUGUAAACCUCUUUUAGCAGGGAAGAAGCGAAAGUGACGGUACCUGCAGAAAAAGCGCCGGCUAACUACGUGCCAGCAGCCGCGGUAAUACGUAGGGCGCAAGCGUUAUCCGGAAUUAUUGGGCGUAAAGAGCUCGUAGGCGGUUUGUCGCGUCUGCUGUGAAAUCCCGAGGCUCAACCUCGGGCCUGCAGUGGGUACGGGCAGACUAGAGUGCGGUAGGGGAGAUUGGAAUUCCUGGUGUAGCGGUGGAAUGCGCAGAUAUCAGGAGGAACACCGAUGGCGAAGGCAGAUCUCUGGGCCGUAACUGACGCUGAGGAGCGAAAGGGUGGGGAGCAAACAGGCUUAGAUACCCUGGUAGUCCACCCCGUAAACGUUGGGAACUAGUUGUGGGGUCCAUUCCACGGAUUCCGUGACGCAGCUAACGCAUUAAGUUCCCCGCCUGGGGAGUACGGCCGCAAGGCUAAAACUCAAAGGAAUUGACGGGGACCCGCACAAGCGGCGGAGCAUGCGGAUUAAUUCGAUGCAACGCGAAGAACCUUACCAAGGCUUGACAUAUACGAGAACGGGCCAGAAAUGGUCAACUCUUUGGACACUCGUAAACAGGUGGUGCAUGGUUGUCGUCAGCUCGUGUCGUGAGAUGUUGGGUUAAGUCCCGCAACGAGCGCAACCCUCGUUCUAUGUUGCCAGCACGUAAUGGUGGGAACUCAUGGGAUACUGCCGGGGUCAACUCGGAGGAAGGUGGGGAUGACGUCAAAUCAUCAUGCCCCUUAUGUCUUGGGCUUCACGCAUGCUACAAUGGCCGGUACAAAGGGCUGCAAUACCGUGAGGUGGAGCGAAUCCCAAAAAGCCGGUCCCAGUUCGGAUUGAGGUCUGCAACUCGACCUCAUGAAGUCGGAGUCGCUAGUAAUCGCAGAUCAGCAACGCUGCGGUGAAUACGUUCCCGGGUCUUGUACACACCGCCCGUCAAGUCAUGAAAGUCGGUAACACCUGAAGCCGGUGGCCUAACCC